rnacentral:lncRNA from 1 species
AUCUAUGGCAGAACCAAAAAUAAGGAGCCGCCUUCAGUGGACCUUUCACGAGUAAAUCACGGCAUCUAGUCAGGUUUCCUUUCUCCAAUAUGGCUAAAGAAUUACCCCAUUUGACACCAGAAAUCAACUCAGCAUCAAGCUCUAUCUAAAUCAAUAAUGCUCUUUGGUAGUCCCUUUUUCAUGUUUUCAUUUGAUUCGAUCUAAAACUUCUGAAGGUAAUAAAUUAGAGUCUCUCAUGCACUUAUUGAUAGCGUAAUUUAGUGAUGUAUGUUGCCGAAAGGAUUUUUUGGGCUAAUAUUUUCACACCCUGGUUUGCACUUGGUUAUCACAGAAAUGUGGAGUAGCUUGUUUUGUAUUGUCUUACAUGUCUGCUAAUUAUUGUGUCAUUGACUCCUUCUUGUGUCAGUGCUUAAAUUCCUCCAGUAAAGCGAAAAUACCAUAAAGAUAUUGAGUUUGUUUGUCUGCAUUUCCUUUGUCUAGAAUUUCCUGGAACAAUCUUAGAUAGUUUGAAGUUUAAUUUUCAAUUUCUGUGACCUGUUUAGGUUGGACUCAUUAUACUCCAGAAUUUAUAUCUCAAGAUUUUUAACACCAUCUUCAGGAUGAACACAAAUCUUUUUAUUUCUAAUAUUUUUUAUAUUUGUUUCCUUUUGAUUGAUUCAUGUGCAGUGUAAUGUUCUUGUAGGUUGACAAGUUGUGGCAUCUCGAGCAUGCCUCAUAGGAGAGCGGAAUGAAGUCCACUAUACUGUUGGGACAGUAGCAGAUGUGCCAUUGUUUUAUUGUGUAAUUUUGUUUGUUCUUGCUAUAUUCCUGUGUAAGAAAAUGUAUUCAUGAGAUGAUUUAUUAUGUUAUGUAAACAUGGGAUAUGUAUUUUGUGAUGUUAUAUGAUGGAUGAUUUUUAUUCGAC